rnacentral:lncRNA from 1 species
UGGUCCUGCUUGGAGCAGCAGAGAGAACAAGUUCUCCCAGUGGGAACCUGGUUUCAGAGAGAGAAAGUGGGAGAAAAAGAGGCCAGGCUAUGUGAGUCAGUGAUCAGAAAACCCUUCAGGAAUGCUGAGUGAGGCAAAUCUUAGCUGUCAAGAGGAGUUGGGGAUGGGCAGUCUCUGUUUUGUCAAAGGGCUCUGAACAAAGUCAUUCUCCCUUUUCUUUUCAUAAUCAAUGGAUCCUUGCAUAGUAUAAUAUGCCUUAUUCUUUUAUUUUUAUUGGAAUAUAUGUUUUUACCAUGUUAAACUCAUUUGUUUCAGAAACAUUUGUGAAGCGUCUGCUGUGUGCUUUGGGGUUGAAUGAAAGACUAGCAAACAUAUUAGAAGAUAUGUUUUCUUGUGUGUUUGCAGGAAUUCAAAAUAUGUGAAAUUGGAAAAGAUGAUAACAUAAGUAGACUUAUUUAAUGUAAAUUUGAUUAAUCUUUAAAUGUUAAUAAAAAUGGUGAAAGCUGCC